GAUGAACGCUGGCGGCGUGCCUAAUACAUGCAAGUCGAGCGAACAGACGAGGAGCUUGCUCCUCUGACGUUAGCGGCGGACGGGUAAGUAACACGUGGAUAACCUACCUAUAAGACUGGGAUAACUUCGGGAAACCGGAGCUAAUACCGGAUAAUAUAUUGAACCGCAUGGUUCAAUAGUGAAAGACGGUUUUGCUGUCACUUAUAGAUGGAUCCGCGCCGCAUUAGCUAGUUGGUAAGGUAACGGCUUACCAAGGCAACGAUGCGUAGCCGACCUGAGAGAGUGAUCGGCCACACUGGAACUGAGACACGGUCCAGACUCCUACGGGAGGCAGCAGUAGGGAAUCUUCCGCAAUGGGCGAAAGCCUGACGGAGCAACGCCGCGUGAGUGAUGAAGGUCUUCGGAUCGUAAAACUCUGUUAUUAGGGAAGAACAAAUGUGUAAGUAACUAUGCACGUCUUGACGGUACCUAAUCAGAAAGCCACGGCUAACUACGUG
rnacentral:rRNA from 1 species